rnacentral:rRNA from 1 species
AGCAGCCGCGGUAAUUCCAGCUCCAAUAGCGUAUAUUAAAGUUGUUGCAGUUAAAAAGCUCGUAGUUGAAUUUCGAGACCGGUUUAUUGGUCGUGCUUUUGUACGUACUGGUAUUAUUGGUUUCUCCUUUCUGACGAAUCUUAAUGCCAUUAAUUGGUGUUUGGGGAAUCAGGACUGUUACUUUAGAAAAAAUUAGAGUAGUUUAAAGCAGGCUCACGCUUGAAUACAUUAGCAUGGAAUAACGGAAUAGGACGUUUGAUUCUAUUUUGUUGGUUUCUAGGAUCGACGUAAUGAUUAAUAGGGAUAGUUGGGGGCAUUAGUAUUCAAUUGUCAGAGGUGAAAUUCUUGGAUUUAUUGAAGACUAACUACUGCGAAAGCAUUUGCCAAGGAUGUUUUCAUUAAUCAAGAACGAAAGUUAGGGGAUCGAAGACGAUCAGAUACCGUCGUAGUCUUAACCAUAAA